rnacentral:rRNA from 1 species
GACGAACGCUGGCGGCGUGCUUAACACAUGCAAGUCGAGCGGUAAGGCCCUUUCGGGGGUACACGAGCGGCGAACGGGUGAGUAACACGUGGGUGACCUGCCCUCAGCUCUGGGAUAAGCCUGGGAAACCGGGUCUAAUACUGGAUAUGACUCCAUGACGCAUGUUGUGGGGUGGAAAGCCUUGUGCGGCUGAGGAUGGGCCCGCGGCCUAUCAGCUUGUUGGUGGGGUGANGGCCUACCAAGGCGACGACGGGUAGCCGGCCUGAGAGGGCGACCGGCCACACUGGGACUGAGACACGGCCCAGACUCCUACGGGGGCAGCAGUGGGGAAUCUUGCGCAAUGGGCGAAAGCCUGACGCAGCGACGCCGCGUGAGGGAUGACGGCCU